GCCGGGCAUGGUGGCAUGUGCCUGUAAUCCCAGCUACUCAGGAGGCUGAGGUAGAAGAAUUGCUUGAACCCGGGAGGUGGAGGUUGCAGUGAGCUGAGAUCGUGCCACUGCACUCCAUCCUGGGUGACAGAGCGAGACUCCAUCUCAA
rnacentral:SRP_RNA from 1 species